AGCAGUAGCCGCGGUAAUACGUAGGUGGCAAGCGUUGUCCGGAAUUAUUGGGCGUAAGGGGCUCGCAGGCGGUUUCUUAAGUCUGAUGUGAAAGCCCCCGGCUCAACCGGGGAGGGUCAUUGGAAACUGGGAAACUUGAGUGCAGAAGAGGAGAGUGGAAUUCCACGUGUAGCGGUGAAAUGCGUAGAGAUGUGGAGGAACACCAGUGGCGAAGGCGACUCUCUGGUCUGUAACUGACGCUGAGGAGCGAAAGCGUGGGGAGCGAACAGGAUUAGAUACCCCUGUAGUCCCUGUCUCUUAUAC
rnacentral:rRNA from 1 species